rnacentral:rRNA from 1 species
GGAAGGAUCAUUAUUGAAUAAAUUUGAACAGGCUGUUGCUGGCUCCCUUGGAAAGAGGAGGGUACGUGCACGCUUGUCAAUCUUAUUUCUCCAACUGUGCACAUAUUGUAGACCUGAUAUUGUUAUAACUAUUGUUGUGUAGAUUGAGGACUGCUGUUGCUUUUUUUCAAAAGUCAGCUUACCUUGUAUAUUAUAUAUCAGGUCUAUGUUAUUUCAUAAACCUCUGAAAUAUGUUUUAGAAUGUUGAGUUGGGUCUUUGCACCUAUAAAGUUAAAUAUACAACUUUCAGCAACGGAUCUCUUGGCUCUCGCAUCGAUGAAGAACGCAGCGAAAUGCGAUAAGUAAUGUGAAUUGCAGAAUUCAGUGAAUCAUCGAAUCUUUGAAUGCACCUUGCGCUCCUUGGUAUUCCGAGGAGCAUGCCUGUUUGAGUGUCAUUAAAUUCUCAACCAUAUCAAUUUGUUUUGAUUGUGGUGUGGAUGUUGGGGGUUCUUUUUGUUGCAGGCUUUUUAGAAUAAGAGUCUGCUCCCCUGAAAAAUAUUAGUAGUAUCCAAGCAGAGGCUUACUACAGGUGUGAUAAUUGUUUAUACCUUCAGUACACUGCAUGAAUGGAUUACACUGCUUAUAACCCCUUCUUUUUGACAAGUUUGACCUCAAAUCAGGUAGGACUACCCGCUGAACUUAAGCAUAUCAAUAAGCGGAGGAAAAGAAACUAACAAGGAUUCCCCUAGUAACUGCGAGUGAAGCGGGAAGAGCUCAAAUUUGAAAUCUGGCAGUUCUCAACUGUCUGAGUUGUAGUCUAGAGAAGUGUUACCUGUGCUGGACCAUGUACAAGUCUUCUGGAAUGGAGCAUCAUAGA